rnacentral:lncRNA from 1 species
CAGUGCCUCCGUGCCCACAGUGGGGAGUGAGGGGUGGGGAGUUGGUGAAUCUUCCAAGUGGAAAGAGGGAGAGCUCAUUCUUUUUCCCCUCAAUAACAAGUCCACAUGGCUUGAAUGAAUUUUAGCUUCUUGGCAGAACAGCUCAGGGAAAGCUACUGAUGGCCUGUCAUAGGGCUGGCAUUUGGCUCAGCUAACCCAUGUGUUCAAGCCAGUGUGAAUGGGCACCUCUCUCCACACACAUGCUCAUUCAUCCUCCUAAAUAUCCUUCCAUCCGCCCAUCCAUCUAUCCACCCAUCUUUCCUUAUGUCCUUCUGGGGCUCUCACAUCCAUCCAUCCUCCUGUCCAUCCACUAACCACUUAGGUCCAUCUAUCAUCCCACUCAUUCAUUCAUCCAACCACACACCUUUUAAUUUAUUCAACCACCUAUUCUUCUAUUCAUCUUCCCAUACAACUUCUCAUCCAUCAUUCCACACUUCCUUUUUCACAUCUCUUCAUAAAACCACAACCAUCCACCAUCCUCUUCUCCACCCAUCCACCCACAUAUCUGUUUAUUGAUAUAUCCACUCAUUUCCCAUCUGUCCAAGAUCAACAUAUCCACCUAUCAUUUUAUCCAUUCUCUCAUCCACCCAUACGUUCAUCUAUUAUUUUUGCCCCCAUUAUCCUCCUUUCUGUGUAAACAUUAAUUCAUUUUCUCCCAUCUUUCCUACCCAGCAGAUCUUAAAGAGAGGAAGAGUUUGUAAUAUUCUUCAGGGGAAGCCUUUUGAGAUUGAAAUAUCAUACUUUGAAUGAUAACUCUAUAUCUAUCUAUAAUAUACUAUGGUUUAAUGUUUGGAAAUCAAACGCAGUAUUUAUUUGUCAUGUGAACUACUAAAAGUAAAUCUGCAUGGACUUCUUGCCUGGUGAGUUACACAGAAAAUGAAAGUGAUUAUCAGUGGCUGUGGCAAGAUGAAAGGAACCAUGCCAGGACUUCUGAGGGAAGGAAGAGUGUUUGGGACUGAAAAAUCCUUGUCUGGAUCUAGUCCUCAGCCACUCAGAAGCUGGCAUGCCAUGACUCAAAGAGCCGCCCGUCUGGAAUGAAGACAGUGACCCGUAACUCCCACCUGAAGAGCAGGUGCUUGGAAAAUGCUGCCAGUCCGCAGGAAAAAGUUGUUACUGCUGCUGUCUGUGACCAAGAGGACACUUUAUUUCUUGAAACAACUGGGGGCAAACUGGCUCCCAGAUAAGGCUUCAGUCCCUACUCAUGUGAGGAAACCAGCCCUGGUAGGUUCCAUGCACAAGAAUACAGGACAAGGAGCAGCUUUUUUCACCUCAUGCAACCUCCAGGGAUUUCAGCUUCCUUUUCUUGGAGCAAGAAAGUGAAGUGACGUGGGGAGUCACUAGGAACAAUGUCUGUCUUACUGUGUUUCAUGGAACCUGGAGGUUCCUUAGAGACCCCUCAGAAGCAGACCUAGUGGUCAGAGUAAAAGCUGAGGAGUAAGCUGUGCCUCUCCCUCCCCAGGCCCCAUCCCAACCACAGAAGUUCCACUUGCAUCAGUUUUAUAUACCAG